rnacentral:rRNA from 1 species
UGCCAGCAGCCGCGGUAAUACGGAGGGGGUUAGCGUUGUUCGGAAUUACUGGGCGUAAAGCGCACGUAGGCGGAUUAGAAAGUAUGGGGUGAAAUCCCAGGGCUCAACCCUGGAACUGCCUCAUAAACUCCUAGUCUAGAGUUCGAGAGAGGUGAGUGGAAUUCCGAGUGUAGAGGUGAAAUUCGUAGAGAUUGGAAAGAACACCGAUGGCGAAGGCACUUUACUGGGCUAUUACUAACACUCAGAGACGAAAGCUAGGGUAGCAAAUGGGAUUAGAUA